CGAUAGGCGAGGAAUCCUGGAAUGGUUCUUCACCCAAAGGACACUGGAAACAUGCUUUCUCUGUCGCCUGGGGAUGGGGCCGCGUCCGAUCAGGUGGUUGGUGAGGUAAUGGCUCACCAAGCCUUUAACCGGUACGGGCCGUGAGAGCGGUAGCCCGGAGAUGGGUACUGAGACAAGGACCCAGGCCCUACGGGGCGCAGCAGUCGCGAAAACUCCGCAAUGCACGAAAGUGUGACGGGGCUACCCCGAGUGCCGUCCGCUGAGGAUGGCUUUUCCUUGGUGUAACUAGCCGGGGGAAUAAGGAGAGGGCAAGACUGGUGUCAGCCGCCGCGGUAAUACCAGCUCUCCGAGUGGUAGGGAUGAUUAUUGGGCUUAAAGCGUCCGUAGCCGGCUUAGCAAGUUUCCUGUUAAAUUCAGCGACCUAAUCGUUGAGCCGCGGGAAAUACUACUAGGCUAGGAGGCGGGAGAGGUCGACGGUACUUCUGGGGUAGGGGUGAAAUCCUAUAAUCCCGGGAGGACCACCAGUGGCGAAGGCUGUCGACUAGAACGCGCUCGACGGUGAGGGACGAAAGCUGGGGGAGCGAACCGGAUUAGAUACCCGGG
rnacentral:rRNA from 1 species